AGUCGAGCGACCGAUUAGAAGCUUGCUUCUAUGACGUUAGCGGCGGACGGGUGAGUAACACGUGGGCAACCUGCCUGUAAGACUGGGAUAACUUCGGGAAACCGAAGCUAAUACCGGAUAGGAUCUUCUCCUUCAUGGGAGAUGAUUGAAAGAUGGUUUCGGCUAUCGCUUACAGAUGGGCCCGCGGUGCAUUAGCUAGUUGGUGAGGUAACGGCUCACCAAGGCAACGAUGCAUAGCCGACCUGAGAGGGUGAUCGGCCACACUGGGACUGAGACACGGCCCAGACUCCUACGGGAGGCAGCAGUAGGGAAUCUUCCGCAAUGGACGAAAGUCUGACGGAGCAACGCCGCGUGAGUGAUGAAGGCUUUCGGGUCGUAAAACUCUGUUGUUAGGGAAGAACAAGUACGAGAGUAACUGCUCGUACCUUGACGGUACCUAACCAGAAAGCCACGGCUAACUACGUGCCAGCAGCCGCGGUAAUACGUAGGUGGCAAGCGUUAUCCGGAAUUAUUGGGCGUAAAGCGCGCGCAGGCGGUUUCUUAAGUCUGAUGUGAAAGCCCACGGCUCAACCGUGGAGGGUCAUUGGAAACUGGGGAACUUGAGUGCAGAAGAGAAAAGCGGAAUUCCACGUGUAGCGGUGAAAUGCGUAGAGAUGUGGAGGAACACCAGUGGCGAAGGCGGCUUUUUGGUCUGUAACUGACGCUGAGGCGCGAAAAGCGUGGGGAGCAAACAGGAUUAGAUACCCUGGUAGUCCACGCCGUAAACGAUGAGCGCUAAAGUGUUAGAGGGUUUCCGCCCUUUAGUGCUGCAGCUAACGCAUUAAGCACUCCGCCUGGGGAGUACGGUCGCCAAGACUGAAACUCAAAGGAAUUGACGGGGGCCCCCACAACCGGUGGAGCAUGUGGUUUUAAUUCGAACAAACCCGAAAAACCUUACCAGGUCUUUGACAUCCUCUGAC
rnacentral:rRNA from 1 species